GCUGAACUCAUUUACAUUUUCACUGAAAGUUCAUAAAUGUGCCUUUUUCUCCACAACCUCAGGAGCAUCUGCUGUGUUUGGACUUUUUCACAGUAGCCAUUCCAGCUAGUGUGAGAUGGUAUCUCAUUGUGGUUUUGAGUUGCAAUUCUCUGAUGAAGAGGGAUGUGGAGCAUUUUUUCAUAUGUUCGUUGGUCACUUCUAUGUCUUCUUCUGAGAAGUGUUUGUUCAUGCCUUUGCCAACUCUAUAAUAGAGUUAGCUUGUUCUUAUUUUUCCAGUUCUUCUAGAUGUGACAUCAGAUAGUUAAUUUGAGAUCUUUCUAACUUUGGAGGUAGGCUUCUCGACAUUUCCUCUUAACACUCUUUUUUGCUGCAUCUCAGAGAGUGUGGUAUGUUGUGUCUCUCCUUUCAUUUAUUUCAAAUAAUAUUUUGAUUUUGCCCUUAAAUUGAUUGUCUACCACCAAAUCUUUCUGGGGAAAGUUGUUUAAAUUGGGUGUAGUUUUGUGGUUUUGAGAGAUCUUUUUGAUGUGCUACUGGAUUCAUUUCUAUUGCUGCUGGGAUUAACUUCCAUUUUUAUUCCACUGUACUCUGAGAGUAUGGCUGGUAUGAUUUUGAUUUUUUAAAAUAACUUAAAUUUUUUUUAAUCUAUUAAAUCACCAAGUCCUGGAACAGGUUGUGUUAGCCCUUGAGGCAUUCAUCCAGCACUGUUUCAGAGAAAUCUCCAUUUCACUCUAUUCCUAUAUAUUAGUUAUUAAAAAAUACAUAAACCAGACUACUGCAAAAACAAGUUGACCUCUUUGUGUUCCUUGAACACAGUAGUGAAGGACCCCCCUGACUGGGCCUCAUGCCAAACAACUCAUUACAAAAAGAGCUAGAGACUCAGACUACGGGAAAGCAUCACAAGUCCUCUCCUUGUCUGUACACGGAUGGCUGGCCGAUUCUGGAGCCCAGGCUGUCGCUUCCCGCUGUGGUGAUGAAUCAGUCCUUCAUAGUCCGGCCCGCUGCUAAUCUCCACUAAUCUGCAAGCUGUUGGUGAUUGGCACA
rnacentral:lncRNA from 1 species